rnacentral:miRNA from 1 species
CUUCCAGCCGGUGAGGUACAUGCACCUCACCAACUGGAAGGGUUUCCUUCCAAUUGACAAGGUAGGACUUCCUUCCAGCCGGCAAGGUACAUGUACCUCAUUGACUGGAAGGAAACCCUUCCAGUUGUCAAGGUACAUGUACCUCGUCAACCGGAAG